rnacentral:rRNA from 1 species
UACGGGGGGAGCAAGCGUUGUUCGGAUUUACUGGCGUAAAGGGCGCGUAGGCGGCCACCGCAAGUCGACUGUGAAAUCUCCGGGCUUAACCCGGAAAGGUCAGCCGAUACUGCGGGGCUAGAGUGCAGAAGGGGCAACUGGAAUUCUCGGUGUAGCGGUGAAAUGCGUAGAUAUCGAGAGGAACACCUGCGGCGAAGGCGGGUUGCUGGGCUGACACUGACGCUGAUGCGCGAAAGCUAGGGGAGCGAACGGG